GCGCCAGUGGCGGAAUGGUAGACGCGCUGGUCUUAGGAACCAGUGGGCAACCGUGGGGGUUCGAGUCCCUCCUGGCGCACCA
rnacentral:tRNA from 3 species